rnacentral:lncRNA from 1 species
ACUACUGAUGGGACCAAGGCUGGAGCGUAGGCUACCUGGUGACAAGAGGCCCUUGCUAACCAAGCUCCUGAAUANNNNNNNNNNNNNNNNNNNNNNNNNAAAAAAAAGAAAGAAAGAAAGAAGCAUCCAGUAAACAUCUCUGGAAGGAGGGCAAGAGCUGGAUGAGGCUGAAAAUGGAUCUCUUGAUACCACUGAGAAUCUUUGAGCAGGGACCCCCUGGACAUGUGGGAACAAUGACAGGCAAAUGACUGUUGUGGCUGUUGCAGACGAGGGACACCCAGAGAAAAAUGAGACUGUAAUUUCACACAUGUAAAUGAAAAGUCCGUAUUUUAAAAAAAAAUCUAAAUAGGCCAAAUACAAACACAGAAUAAAGGGACUACUGAUGGGACCAAGGCUGGAGCGUAGGCUACCUGGUGACAGGAGGCCCUUGCUAACCAAGCUCCUGAAUACAGGACAAGGCCCAGGGGACUUCUCAGUCCCUGAGAUCACAGGGCCUGGUGGAAGAAAGUUCUCCUGAAGGGACAAGGACAAAGGGACAGGGGAAAAGGUGACCCAGCCUGGGAGUGUCCACACCGAAGCCCAUGAUGCCCUGAGCUCUCACUGGGCACAGGCCCCGUCCAUGUUUCUCUCCUCACAUCCCAUCCGGAACUGACACAGCACAGCACACAUGUGGAUUCUGGAAGGUUCUCAAUCCUUCCAUUUAUUUCCUCUUUCAAACAUAGGAAAUCUCUCAUUUAUUAUCCCCUCAACUCCUCAUGGCACCAAUUAGAAAAAGCAAAUUCAACAGGAAGUCAUUACUCAGGGCAGUCAAGUUAAGUAAGGAUGGAGAUGGUCCAGUGCCCCCCCUCCCCCCGCCCGGCUCCCACUUGCAAGAACUGGAAAGAGGAUCAUGGAAGAGAACACAGGUCAGGGUGAGGAGGCUCAUAGGAACACAGACCCUUUCAGAGGAUCCUUGGUAAGGGACACAUCGGAGCCCUGGUCACUGUCACUGCCUGGGGGACAGCAAAAGCAGGAUGGGGUCAGGACCCCCGAGAGAGAAGAUGACAGAAGGUGAGUGAACUCCACCCACGGCCUCCUGUCUGCACCACCAGGGCCUCAGGCAUCACAACCCUCCACACUGACCUGCAGCCUGAGUGUAGCUCCCUCCUUUUUCACCUGUGGGAAGAAGACAUCAUGUGAGAGACCAGGGAAAUGAUGGGUCAUGAGAUCUAGAGGAAACCCUAGAACCGGACCACAGAGACCUUUCCAGAACUUUGCCCAAAAAUCCAGGACAGGAUCAGG